rnacentral:rRNA from 1 species
CUACAGGCUUAACACAUGCAAGUCGCGGGGCAGCAUGAAGGAUGCUUGCAUCCUUUGAUGGCGACCGGCGCACGGGUGAGUAACGCGUAUCCAACCUGCCUGUUACCACGGCACAGCCCGUCGAAAGGCGGAUUAAUGCCGUAUGUGGUCCUUUGCGGGCAUCUAAUUAGGACUAAAGGUUCAGCGGUAACGGAUGGGGAUGCGUCCGAUUAGCUAGACGGCGGGGUAACGGCCCACCGUGGCGACGAUCGGUAGGGGUUCUGAGAGGAAGGUCCCCCACACUGGAACUGAGACACGGUCCAGACUCCUACGGGAGGCAGCAGUGAGGAAUAUUGGUCAAUGGGCGUAAGCCUGAACCAGCCAAGUAGCGUGAGGGAAGACUGCCCUAUGGGUUGUAAACCUCUUUUGUGCGGGGAUAAAGUGUGGGACGUGUCCCAUAUUGCAGGUACCGCACGAAUAAGGACCGGCUAAUUCCGUGCCAGCAGCCGCGGUAAUACGGAAGGUCCGGGCGUUAUCCGGAUUUAUUGGGUUUAAAGGGAGCGCAGGCCGUCCUUUAAGCGUGCUGUGAAAUGCCGCGGCUCAACCGUGGCACUGCAGCGCGAACUGGAGGACUUGAGUACGCACGAGGUAGGCGGAAUUCGUGGUGUAGCGGUGAAAUGCUUAGAUAUCACGAAGAACUCCGAUUGCGAAGGCAGCUUACCGGAGCGCAACUGACGCUGAGGCUCGAAAGCGCGGGUAUCGAACAGGAUUAGAUACCCUGGUAGUCCGCGCGGUAAACGAUGGAUGCCCGCCGUUGGGGUUUUGAUUUCAGCGGCCAAGCGAAAGCGUUAAGCAUCCCACCUGGGGAGUACGCCGGCAACGGUGAAACUCAAAGGAAUUGACGGGGGCCCGCACAAGCGGAGGAACAUGUGGUUUAAUUCGAUGAUACGCGAGGAACCUUACCCGGGCUUGAAUUGCAGGAGAACGAUCCAGAGAUGGUGAGGCCCUUCGGGGCUCCUGUGAAGGUGCUGCAUGGUUGUCGUCAGCUCGUGCCGUGAGGUGUCGGCUCAAGUGCCAUAACGAGCGCAACCCUUAUCACUAGUUACUAACAGGUGAAGCUGAGGACUCUGGUGAGACUGCCAGCGUAAGCUGUGAGGAAGGUGGGGAUGACGUCAAAUCAGCACGGCCCUUACGUCCGGGGCUACACACGUGUUACAAUGGGGGGUACAGAGGGCCGCUACCACGCGAGUGGAUGCCAAUCCCAAAAACCUCUCUCAGUUCGGACUGGAGUCUGCAACCCGACUCCACGAAGCUGGAUUCGCUAGUAAUCGCGCAUCAGCCACGGCGCGGUGAAUACGUUCCCGGGCCUUGUACACACCGCCCGUCAAGCCAUGGGAGCCGGGGGUACCUGAAGUGCGUAACCGCGAGGAGCGCCCUAGGGUAAAACUGGUGACUGGGGCUAAGUAG